rnacentral:rRNA from 1 species
GACGAACGCUGGCGGCGCGCCUAACACAUGCAAGUCGAACGAGCGAGAGAGAGCUUGCUUUCUCGAGCGAGUGGCGAACGGGUGAGUAACGCGUGAGGAACCUGCCUCAAAGAGGGGGACAACAGUUGGAAACGACUGCUAAUACCGCAUAAGCCCACGACCCGGCAUCGGGUAGAGGGAAAAGGAGCAAUCCGCUUUGAGAUGGCCUCGCGUCCGAUUAGCUAGUUGGUGAGGUAACGGCCCACCAAGGCGACGAUCGGUAGCCGGACUGAGAGGUUGAACGGCCACAUUGGGACGAAGAAACGGCCCAGAAUCCUACGGGAGGCAGCAGUGGGGAAUAUUGCACAAUGGGGGAAACCCUGAUGCAGCGACGCCGCGUGGAGGAAGAAGGUCUUCGGAUUGUAAACUCCUGUUGUUGAGGAAGAUAAUGACGGUACUCAACAAGGAAGUGACGGCUAACUACGUG